GACGAACGCUGGCGGCGUGCCUAAUACAUGCAAGUAGAACGCACAGUUUAUACCGUAGCUUGCUACACCAUAGACUGUGAGUUGCGAACGGGUGAGUAACGCGUAGGUAACCUGCCUGGUAGCGGGGGAUAACUAUUGGAAACGAUAGCUAAUACCGCAUAAUAUUAAUUAUUGCAUGAUAAUUGAUUGAAAGAUGCAACUGCAUCACUACCAGAUGGACCUGCGUUGUAUUAGCUAGUAGGUGAGGUAACGGCUCACCUAGGCGACGAUACAUAGCCGACCUGAGAGGGUGAUCGGCCACACUGGGACUGAGACACGGCCCAGACUCCUACGGGAGGCAGCAGUAGGGAAUCUUCGGCAAUGGACGAAAGUCUGACCGAGCAACGCCGCGUGAGUGAAGAGGGUUUUCGGAUCGUAAAGCUCUGUUGUAAGAGAAGAACGGGUGUGAGAGUGGAAAGUUCACACUGUGACGGUAUCUUACCAGAAAGGGACGGCUAACUACGUG
rnacentral:rRNA from 1 species